CAAUAGCGUAUACUAAUGUUGUUGCAGUUAAAAAGCUCGUAGUUGAACUUCUGGUAGGAGUGUCCCGGCCUUUUUGUUUUUACAAAUUGUAUGCUGUGUGACAUCUCUGGCCAUCCUUCUUCUUUGUUUAAAGAAGAUCUUUCACUGUAAAAAAAUUAGGGUGUUCAAAGCAAAAGUUUCUUUGGAAUAUAUUAGUAUGGGAUGAUAAGAUAGGCUCUAGAUGCUACUUUGUUGGUUUGCACAUUUAGAGAAUGAUUAACAGGGACAGUUGGGGGUAUUCGUAUUUACAUGUCAGAGGUGAAAUUCUUGGAUUUUGGAAAGACGAACUACUGCGAAAGCAUUUACCAAGGAUGUUUUCAUUAA
rnacentral:rRNA from 1 species